rnacentral:rRNA from 1 species
CACUCCUGCGGGAGGCAGCAGUGGGGAAUAUUGGACAAUGGGCGCAAGCCUGAUCCAGCCAUGCCGCGUGAGUGAUGAAGGCCCUAGGGUUGUAAAGCUCUUUCACCGGUGAAGAUAAUGACGGUAACCGGAGAAGAAGCCCCGGCUAACUUCGUGCCAGCAGCCGCGGUAAUACGAAGGGGGCUAGCGUUGUUCGGAUUUACUGGGCGUAAAGCGCACGUAGGCGGACUAUUAAGUCAGGGGUGAAAUCCCGGGGCUCAACCCCGGAACUGCCUUUGAUACUGGUAGUCUUGAGUUCGAGAGAGGUGAGUGGAAUUCCGAGUGUAGAGGUGAAAUUUGUAGAUAUUCGGAGGAACACCAGUGGCGAAGGCGGCUCACUGGCUCGAUACUGACGCUGAGGUGCGAAAGCGUGGGGAGCAAACAGGAUUAGAAACCCUUGUAGUCCCAUGA